rnacentral:lncRNA from 1 species
GAGAAAACAAAGCGAAAUAGCUAUCUAUUUUACUUGAUAUGUUAGAAUAAAUAUUAAACAGUGUGCUGCAGUUGGCAGAUAGGAAGUGUCCUCACCUAGAGUGAAGGUAGCUUUUGACACAGCCCAGCCAGGAUGCAGAGCAAAUGAUGACAGGAGUUCAAGUAGCUGAAGCUAUGGGAUAGAAAUAAUUGAGAACACAAGAUCUGUGUAUGUGUGUUACUGUUUUUCUCAGUUAUGUUCACUGGAAUCAGACUGGCUGUGGUUUUUUUUUUUUAAUUUUUCCUGAUAAGUCCAAGCAAUGGUCAGUCUUUGAACCUACACCAGUACACCCAUUAUUUCUCCAGUGAGCGGCUAACAAGCUAUGUUGUAAAACAUGUUAAAGUGAAGUACUUUGACCAACUUGCUGAAAUUCCUAAGUGGUCAAGAAGAUCAAAGCAUGUCUGAAACUUCUUUUAACUGCUACUGCUUAGAUUGUAGGAAGCCACACAAAAGCAUAUGAGCAUCUCUUCUGAUACUUAGAGUUACACAGCCACUGACAUCAUUCAGAAGAACCCUAUGACUUACUAAUCAGCUUCAGGCAUUUUAUUGAAAACCUUGAUUGUGAAGGGCAUCUUGAUUUAAAGGAGGUGCUGUGUGCCAGUAUUACUAAGUGCCAUUGUAUACAAAGUGGCGAUAAUACAAGACAAUACAAUACAUAACCAGACAAAGACUCACUAUGCUUGCCAUGUUUUCAGAUAGCAUUAGUGAACAUGUCUAAUUAUAUUUGCAGAGGUGGGGCCUUCGUUGUUUGUUUCUUUUUAAUUGGGCUGUGAGUUUUCAUUGACAGAUAUAAAAGAGGAAUCAGAACCAUCGACACACCCCGG